rnacentral:rRNA from 1 species
UACGGAGGGUGCAAGCGUUAUCCGGAUUCACUGGGUUUAAAGGGUGCGUAGGUGGGCAGGUAAGUCAGUGGUGAAAUCUCCGGGCUUAACUCGGAAACUGCCAUUGAUACUAUCUUUCUUGAAUACCGUGGAGGUCAGCGGAAUAUGUCAUGUAGCGGUGAAAUGGCUUAGAUAUGACAUAGAACACCAAUUGCGAAGGCAGCUGG